AUUGGAUUAAGUAGAGAUGAAGUUAGUGAAAGUGAAUCUGAUGAAAGCAGCACAGAGGUCACAGCAUUAACAUCUGGAACUGUGAAGCUUGUAGAUGCUGAAUCUACAAUCACAGAGAAAGUUCAUGACGAGACAGAUUUUGCAGGAACUUUGUCAUCAGUGUCGUCCACGGUAAAUGAAACUGCCCCUCCUUCUGAAGGGACAAAUGCUGGUCAAGAACAUGGUUCCAGAAGUGUGCCAAAGAGACCGUGGUCUAAGGCAGAGGAAGCUGCUGUAAUGCGGCAUUUCAAGGAUCACAUAAUCAAGGGAAGACUGGCCACCAAAACUAAAUGCAGUCACUGUAAGCUGGUAGAAGGCCCUGUGUUGGCCCAAGGAAAUGUGCAAAAUAUAAGAGACUUUGUUAGAAACACAGGAGUAGCUGCAAAGAGGCAGUCAAAGAAAUCCUCUCCAAUCUGUAACUAACACACAGUUCAGUUUUUUCUUUUUUACAAUUUUAUUUAUUUGUUCAUUAAUGCUUUAUACAGCAAGUUUUAUUACUUAAA